rnacentral:rRNA from 1 species
CAGUAGCCACGGGAAUACGGAGGGUGCAAGCGUUAAUCGGAAUUACUGGGCGUAAAGCGCACGCAGGCGGUCUGACAAGUCAGAUGUGAAAUCCCCGGGCUUAACCUGGGAACUGCAUUUGAAACUAUCAGGCUGGAGUCUUGUAGAGGGGGGUGGAAUUCCAGGUGUAGCGGUGAAAUGCGUAGAGAUCUGGAGGAAUACCGGUGGCGAAGGCGGCCCCCUGGACAAAGACUGACGCUCAGGUGCGAAAGCGUGGGGAGCAAACAGGAUUAGAUACCCCUGUAGUCCGUCUCUUAUACAC